UACGAAGGGGGCUAGCGUUGUUCGGAAUUACUGGGCGUAAAGGGCGCGUAGGCGGUCCUGAUCGUCGGAUGUGAAAGGCCUGGGCUCAACCUGGGAAUGGCAUCCGAUACGGCGGGACUGGAGUGUGGGAGAGGUUGGUGGAAUUCCCAGUGUAGAGGUGAAAUUCGUAGAUAUUGGGAAGAACACCGGUGGCGAAGGCGGCGACCUGGUCCUUUUACUGACGCUGAGGCGCGAAAGCGUGGGGAGCAAACAGG
rnacentral:rRNA from 1 species